AUUGACACUAAAUUAGCCAGUCUUGUAUGUAUAAAUACCACUUGUGGCACUUGUCGUAUUAAGUUUGUUUGUUGCGUUCUUGGCAAAGUGUAUUUGUUCUAUUUUUGUCUAUUUUGGUUAUAUUUUUGUGCUCGUAUGGCCAACUCCGCAUGAAAUCUAAGCCACUCUAUCUGAUACAAGCGCAAUGAUUCACAGGACCAGCGGCUUUGAUCAAGGGUUGGUCUAAUUGUUGGGUUGGAUAUUCUAUCUUUAGAAUAUAUCAGACCAUUGCAUCUCAUAAAUCGCAAAAUCUGUAGUUAUUCACGAAGAUGUGAAAAUAGCAACAGUCAGUUGAAAAGAGGAAACACUUGGGUAUCUACAAUACGAUACCGUAGACGCUUACCUACCAUACACAGUACUCUGUAUACAUUACGGAGUACACUGGGUGUGGCUUGGCUUGGCUCCUGCCAGUGCCCGGGACCAAAUUCCCAGCCAGUCAAGCCAAGGCUCGGGAUUAAGGUAUGAUACGUGUAUACGGAAAAAAUCAUACUCAUAGACAUGCAAAAGAAGCAAAUCCUUCUGAAACUGGACCCCGACAUGUAUCCCAUGUUUCGCUCAGGGUUUUGUCCUACGUUGGAGAUCGGGAUAACCACAUAAAUCCCUCGUUGAUUGCUCAUCAAAGCAAGGUACACACUAAACACCCACACAUACAAAUCUAUCAUGCUCUGCAUGACACCUGCAUUUUGGCCCCAAAUCGGGAUCUGUUCCGGCAUGGAGUACUCCGGACUGGCCGCGUGUGCUAAUGUACUCCAUGAAAUUCGACUACGGGGUGUAUACAUGACUGGUGGCGACAUCCGGACUUGACAGCGCAUUACAAUUAUCUUUUUUUUUUGGAGAAGGUAGUAGUCGUUCUCAAUAAUGAGUCCAAGAACCAACCCCCUUAUCCAGUCAUUGACUACCAUUAACCACUCAAUAUACACGAUCAUGCAGAACCACCACCCAUUCCUAUAGACUAGCGAAUCUGAUAACAUAGUCACUCUGUACGUGGUUUACAUAUCCAUGCCCUGUGUACGUACGCACGCAAGUCUUUUCACCUGCAGAACGAUCUGCAAAAUGUUCGAUUCGUGAUUGGGUGGCUCGUACUUUUCUUUCCUUCCCUCAAUAACUAUCCCUUCUUAAGUCCGGUCGCCAAUCAACACUUUUCAUUUCGAUUUCUUUUCGGGGAGUAUGCAUUAUCCUGGGGUGCUAUCACCUGAUAGUCUGAUAGUACAUGCAUACGAAACAUUUGACUCAUUUUUCUAGAAGGUGGGCUGGAGAAUUCUCUAAUCCCUGUUGUGCAGCGGUGUAACCGUGUGACUUUUGACUGUGCAACGAUUCUUUUCUUCUUCUUCUGCUUUUCGAGACAUGUUUCUGAUUCCAUGCCACACCAAUGGUUCAACUUAUCUGCUCUCCAGUUCGAAUACAGUGGGGCCGGGGGAAUGUAGGAACCCAUGAUAACCGGAAGGAUAGAUCUACAUCGUUACUUGUUUGGGUAACCCAUCAGUUGGUUGUGCUACCACCACCCACCAAUCCCGUCCCCACCGAAUAAGGAACUACGCAGGAAUCACCGAGUAUGAUUCAUGUUUAGUCAUCUGCCUACCUACCUAUCUAAGUUAACUAACUAGUUAUCUAAAUGAUCGACAAUCUCCAAACCAAAACACCAAUUGCAAUUCGGUACGAAGAUACUCAUCGCAUUGCAUACUAUAUAUGUAGCAGCUAGUCAAUAAUCACACUGAAAAUACAGAGCGACAAGCGUCGUAGAUACUAGACACUAAGACCCUACUGCCAACUCGUGCCAAGUCACCUUAACUGGGCUGUAUGAGUCAGGCUCGUUGGUAGUGACAUCAAGACCGCCAUACAAAAAAAAAAAGGCGCGUUGGUUGGUUGAUCUGUUGGUUGGAAUUGUCUGUCUCAUGUGGAGAUUUGAGUUUUGAAUCUAUUUUCGCACAGCCCAUGUUUAAAUUUAUCUUUGUUGGGCUAACGGGCUUGGCUAACAAAGUUAAGUUGACUAGAUACUACUACGAGUACGUACGUAUAUAACUAGUAGACGGCCUAUUCUAAGUUUCUAACAGUCGCCUCGUCGGCUAGUCAAAACCCGAGCUCAAAUUAAUAACAAUGUCCAUUAUUAAGCGUCGGAAGCGCACCUCUGAGUCUCUGACAAAUAACCUAUCCGGUGUUUGGCAGCCGAUCAUUCGCGGGUCAAGAAUAUCAGAAGGGGGGGAGGGUACUGCAGAAAAAGGAAAUAUUCUAGAAACCCUGGGAGAAGCAGGGUGCACAGACCUGUCGGUUCGUCUCGUUUUGUUACAGCUAAUACUGUGUAACAUCUGUAUCCCCUGUACGGAGUACGGUGUACUCCGUACGUACUGUAUGAAGACAUGGGGAUCAAAUCA
rnacentral:lncRNA from 1 species